rnacentral:rRNA from 1 species
AAAGCGCGCGUAGGCGGUUACGUAAGUUGGAUGUGAAAUCCCCGGGCUCAACCUGGGAAUUGCAUUCAAAACUGCGUGGCUAGAGUGUGGGAGAGGAAGGUAGAAUUCCAGGUGUAGCGGUGAAAUGCGUAGAUAUCUGGAGGAAUACCGAUGGCGAAGGCAGCCUUCUGGCCUAACACUGACGCUGAGGUGCGAAAGCAUGGGGAGCAAACAGGAUUAGAUACCCCGGU